UUAUUACUAAGUAUGCAUCUGUUACGUCUUUCUCUCUCCUCUCCCUCUUCUCUCUCGCCAGCGGCUCUCUCUCGUCUAUUCCUCGAGUGUUAACUCUCUGGAAGCCAUUGCUUUGAUCUCUCCUUGCUCUAAACCACUACGACAUGGCGUCUUUAACUAAUCAAGCUCAUUUAUCCACAAAUCAAGCUCAGAUCUGUGAUAGUGUUGAUUAACCAAUUCAUCAGAAUCAAGACAUUGCCCUUGAUCAUGAUUUGGUAAUUUAAGAAAGUAGGAAGGGCCCGAAAAAGAGGUUAUUUAUUAUACGGGACUGCAAGGAUGAGGAAAUCAAGUUUGAUAGCUUCCAUGGCUGCUUAUCUAAAGUUUGAUAUAUACAACUUGCAGCUAAUGAAUGUGAAGCAUGACACCAGGCUCAGGAAAUUGUUGCUGGGACUGCAAAUCGAUCCAUCCUUCUAAUUGAAGAUAUUGAUUGUAGUGUAGAGUUGCCAGAUAGAAACACUUUGAAUUUCUUUAGAACUCUUUAUUUACUCUAUUCUCUGUAGAGGAUGAUGGGGGCUUUUAAAAAAAAGCAUUUAGUUUGAUAUUAUUAAUUGAGGAGUGACCAAGUGAUUUUAUAUGCACGAUCCCUGUGCUUUGGCACUUGCAUCACUGUUUUACACAUAUAUUUCAAUAUACAUCUCCUUACUGUUUUAUUAAUAUGUGGUGAUUUUUACCAAUCUCACUUCAUAACCUGUAGCCUACUUGUUGUAAUCUGGACUUACCAUUAAUUUUACAUCGGGUGAAUAGAUGUAAAUAGUUCCUUUAAGAGUUAAAGCACUAUUGAGUUUCUAAUAUAGGAACAUGUUAAAUUACUAUUUCAGUUAAUAUGCUAAUUUUGCUAGUAUUGCAGGUUGUGGCAGGAUUCAUGUCCCAGGUCAUGGAUAGAUCAGUGUCAUUUGACCGAUCGCAAAUAAUAUUAACAGCUGGUACUACCUCUGCAAUUGAGAUUCUUAGUUUCUACCUGGCUUACUUGGGAAGUGUUUUUCUAGUUCCCUCACCUUACAACCCAGAGUAAAUUUCGUCAUUGAAACCUUAAAUAUUACUGUUUUUAGUGAUUGUCAAUUGUCAUAUAUAGGAACUAAACAUGAAAGACAUUUACAAACUUGUCGUGGAUGUCAAAUGGCGUACAAGGGUGGAGUGCCAGAUGAAAACAGUAAUAUUUAAGGUUUGCAGUUCACACUAUCAGGACUAUUGAACUUCAUAGAUGGGUUAUAGUCAAGCUGUGGAGACGAGAGGGUCAAAAUUUUUACGACCAACAAAAGGACAAGCUUGAUCCUGCAUUUUUGUGUCCAGGACGCAUGGACAAGCACAUUCAUAUAUCUUAUCUUUCGAUUAAUGGAUUCAAAACAUUAGCUUCUAAUUAUCUGGACAUUGGCGGUACAAAGAGAUAGAAAAUUAGAAGCCUAAUAGCCUAAUAGAAAAUUUGUAGUAUAAUUUUGUCAAGAAUAAAGACAUAUGGCACAAACACAUCGCUCAAGUUUUCAAGUUUAGUGUAUUAGGCACUCUCUUAUGUUUAAAAGUUUCUCUAGUUUAAAUUGUAAUUAGCAAGUACUACAUUAAUCUGCCAAAAGGCCUUAUAUAUAUGUCCUAAUAUCUGCGGCCACUAAAGCACAGUGUAUUGUCAUGCUUGUGUUUCUGUAUACUUGUUUAGGUACUAGUAGACUGAUUUUAGUGUGGGUUUUUAUUAAAAUAUAAAUAUGACAAAUUAGCAUGAUGCUAUUGCAGGGUCCUUUGCAGGUUUAGGGUUUCUAUCUGCGUACUUGGCCGGAAAGAUAAGAGCAUUUGAUCGCAGGGGACAUGUGGCAAAACUUUGUAUUGUCUUUCUUCCUCUCAUUGUUGCUGCCCUUGUUGGUGUAUCUCGAGUGGAUGACUAUUGGCACCAAUGGCAGGAUGUGUUUGCACGGGGUCUCCUGGGGCUCUUCGUGGAAACAAUCUGUCAUCUUCAAUUCUUCCAACCACCAUAUCACACUGAUGGCAGGCCUUUUAGUUCUUUACUUUAUUGUUCUUAAGUUUACAUUCUGGCAAUUGAUUUUCUACAACAUUUUUACCCUUCCCUCUAGGAGAUUUUGAGCAUUUGUUUUGAGAUUUGGAUGAGUCAAGUGUGAUGAUCUUUUGUGUGGCUUGUCAAUACGCUUCUUCUUAAGGUCCUUGCUUCGUCAUUUCAUAUGAGCACAUUUUUUGAUCAAAUUCAGUUUUUUGAUCAGAUUCAGGAUUCUUUGUUUAAUCAGUAUGUGAUUCAGAAGCUGUCAGGGCAGCCAUUGAUUGAGAUCCAACAAGAGAAUAAAGAGGAGAAAGUCAUGGUUGAGGAGUUUUUGAUGGUCUUGUAUUUUGAAUCAUAUCAGCUUGUUUUAAUUUUUAGUUUUUAGUUGUAUCAUUGCUUUGGUUGUAUAGUGGAAUCUUGUUUUGUAAAAAUGCAGUUUGAAAUUAUUCCUUGAAUUUUGGUUCUGUUGUAGAAUCAAGACAUUGAAUUUAUUAAAAUUUUAAUUUUAAUUUUUGCUUAA